ACUGGGCCUGGAGAGCAGAGCCGCAGGUUAGACCAUCCGUGACCCCUUCGGAGCCUCUUUCUCCCUGCGUCUAGCACGGGCCCUCAGGAGGCCUCCAGGUCCUUCUGUACCGGGUUACCGAUGCCCCUCCUCCCACUCCCUGUCUCAGCCACCCAUCAGGGUGUACACAACCCCUCCUGUUCUCUCCACAGGUCACCUCUCCGAACCCCUUCUAGCCGAAGCCUGCUCAGAGUGGCCGCUGGCUCUGCUCCAUCCCCACCACCAGCAGAAAUGUCUGACUCCUAACAGCAGGGCCGUGAUUUUGACCCUGCUCUGAGUGCCUCCCCGUCCAAACCCUAGGGGUGCACUUGCCAACCAGUCCCUGUCCUCUGAGGUCACUCCCACACCACAGAGGGGGGUGCUCCUGGCAAAGCAGCUCUCUGGCUGGGUGGGAUUUGGCGGGGUAGAACUGUCCAAAGCCCCAGAUACGUCCUGAGAUCUGCCUGGAGGAUAAGCACAAGAGAAGAGAGACCACGCCAUGGAUGCAAAUGCCUAUGGGCCCAGGUGGCACCCCAGGACGCCAAUGUGGGGGCUCCUGGAGGAGAGGCUGUGGACGGAGUCCUGAGAGUCAGCCUGGUGGCCUGAAGGCCACCUCCCCAGGGGCAGCCGUGGGAGUGGAGAGGGCAGUGCACACAACCCUGAUGACUGAGGCCCCAAACCAGGAGCCCUGGAGACAACACAGGUGCUGAGCGCAUGGGGACCCUCACCGCCACCACUGGGUCUGCAACUGGAGCAAGAACAACCCUCACAUCUGUGCAGGGUUCUACGGGCUCGUUUCACUCUUGCCAUCACAGACACAGCUGGCGAUGGCGGGAACUUAAGAUACAUCAUCCCCAGCAGCGCUGAAAUACAUACUUGUCGCUGUCAAAAGGUUGUAUGUGGCGUGGCCUUUAGUUCACCAAAUUGUGUGCCGGCACCUGCUUCGGACCCAUCCAUUUCACUCCCAGAUACAGGCAUGUGACGAAGUCACACAUGAUUGACAAGCACAAGGUAUCUAUGUGCUGUCACCUUGGCCAGUCUCUGUGGCCCCCCAGGCCAAAUCCUCCCUGCAACCGGCUUUGUACAACCCUCAAGCUGCUGUAAAAAGAAUAUGCAACGUUUGGCUCACAAAGCCUUGGCCAGCUACACCCCGCGCCUCUACCACACAGCCUUGCAGACCUCUGGUUCCGGCCCCUGCCACCCACCGGCCUCUCCAUUUUCGUCCACCCGGACGGCGCUCACGCCUGCCGACUGCCCAGGGCUUCUGCGGGCAGCCCCUCCUGCAGGACGUCCUUCGUCCCUGGAAAGCCUGCGCUCCCCACUCGGGCCCUCCUGGUGGGCAGGAGCCUCCCGUGGGCGCUGCUGGCCCUGCCUGGCUCGGGAGUGUGCGGCUGCCCCACCCCGGUAGGGCCGCCCCGCCCCCAUCACUCGGCCCCGCCCCGGAUGGGGGGGGGGUGAUUCUCCUCAGGGCAGCUCUGACCGCAGGGCUCAGCAAGGUGGGUGGGAGGGGCCCUCUAAGAGAGACGGAGAUGGAGUACCCGAACAGGCAGUAAACCUAAUCCAGGAGAACCGUCUGCCUCAGUUUCUCCACCUGUGCCUUGAGGCUAAGCGUGGUUCUCUACUCAUCACGUGACCUGACACCUCAGUGCCUUGGUGUCCCUGACUCUCAACAAAGGUAGUAAGAGGACGCAUGCGCAGGCUCUGGCAAGGGGCAGGUGCGGGGGUGGGGGGGGGGGCGCAGUUCCUUUCUCUCAAUCACUGAGAACCUGGAUGCCGCAGGGGAGCGCAGGGAAGCGCGCUAUGUGCCGGGAUGGCAGGGAGAGGGAGUGGCGGCCUGGCCUUGGGCCCUGCCUUGGCACACAGGCUGGUGGGAGGACAGACCUCAGUAUAUGGGAUCCAGGGAAGUCAAAGAAGGGGCCUGUGUGUGAAACCACGGGCACUGGAUGGUAGGGUGGGCAGGCUGGGACCAGGACCCCGGGGGACGGCCCGAUGGCCCCGAGUCCCAGCAGUCCCUGCACCUGAGACCACAGCUCCAGGUGCGCGCAGGGAGGGGCCGGUGGGAGGACAGGCACCUGCCCAGGCAUCACUGCUCCCCGGCUGCCAGCCCCCUGGUCUCCCCUCUUGCUCGGCCUGUGCACGGGGGCUUGAGUCUUGCGCCAUCCUGGAGGUGCUCUUCGGGGCUCCCUCGGCUAUCCCUGGGGCAGGAGCGGCUCCAAAGCCCCACUUGCCAGCGAGGUGGGAGCGCCCCGCCCUUUGCCUAGGAGGGGGCUGUUGAGCCAGGGGGGACAGCCAGGCAGGCUUCAGGUCACGCCUGGGCAGGUGUGGAGCCCCCCGGCCCCUGCUCCGGGGCCCACCCCCAGCUCCCACGGCAUUCCCAGCUUUCGCCCCAAACAGGUCAGCAUGAUGGCUCAAAGGAACCAAACUUCUCCUAGCAAACCCCACCCGGCUCAUCGUCCAAGUCCCCGGGUGGCUGGCCCGGGGCUCCCCUCCUCAGACCCCUGCCCCGGGCCCCUGGGCCAGGCACCGUUCAGUGCCGUGAGCUCAGCCCCGGGAGGGAGCAAGAGAUCUGCCUGUGAAGGAAGCCGCUCUGCACCGAGCUGCUCGCAAGCCUCACUCGGCGCUCAGCACCUAGCGAACGGAGGACCCAGCUAAUUACGUUUAAUUACAUAUCAUUUAAAUUCAAGAAUCCAUUAAAAGAAAGGACUGCAUUAGCAGCAGGCCGGUGUUUGCCAACACACAGAGGAAAUCACGGAUUUUUAUGUCUUAAUUACGGGAUGCUGCCAUGAGCUAUGGCUCGGGAGCCGGGGUACCAGGAGGGGAUGGUCCGGGGCCCAGCCUGAAGCCCUGAAGCAGCCACACUCGGUCCAAUGGCAGACCAGCGGGCAGUGCCCCUGUCCAUGCCGGCUGGUGACCCAAGCCCUGCAGGGCCUCAGAGACACGGCACCACGGAGGCCAAAUCAUGAGACCCAGCAAGGAUGUGCCCGUGGCAGUGGGAACAGAGCAGAGAGCGUGAUGGAGAAAGGGACCGAGAGACCCCUGGGCCUUGAGCAGGACGUGGAGGGACAGACGGGGCAAGAGCACAGCCAGGCAGGGACGGCAGCAGGGGGCUGCGCGAGAGACGGACAGAGGGACCCAGACAGAUGCACACACACAAAGCGAGAGAGAGGAGGGAGAAGAAACUGAGUCAGAGACAGACAGAGACAGAGGGAGGAAAGAGCAAAACAAAGGUGGGGGGGGGGUGGACAGCAACUCGGGAGAGGGCGACCGAGAGGGAUGGAGGGAAAGAGGCCAGAGAGAUGGGCAGACGGGGCAGGGGAAGCGCGAGCCGCACAGAGAGAUGGGCAGGGCAGACGGGGCAGGGGAAGCGCGAGCUGCACAAAGCUGGGGCAGGGUCGGGAAGGCAGACACACACCAGAGUCUCCCGGGCCAGAGUGGGCAGCCUCGGUGCCCUGCUCUAGGACACAUGUGUCCUGGUCACCCACUUGUCCCUCUGUGACUUUGGGAGGCCCCUUUUCCCUGUACCUCAUGGGGUCUGUAGGAGUCGCAGCACUGCCCCUCCCCAGGGCCCACUGGUCUGCCCAGCGUGAGUGUCUCUUUACCUCCUGACCCUCAGCUUGCUCAUCUGUAUGGUGGGCGCACGGCCGACUCUCAAGGCUGCUCUGAGAACGGAGCAUGGCUACAACAGAACCACCUGACGCCCACCCCUCAUCCUGCCCUCUGCCCUCCAG